GCCGAUGUAGCUCAAUGGUAGAGCCCCUGUCUUCCAAACAGGCUACGCGAGUUCGAUUCUCGUCAUCGGCUCCG
rnacentral:tRNA from 1 species